UCCUGCACCUUCUUACCAUGCCAGUCCUGGGUCAUCCUCAUUUCCCAGCCCCUCUCGUGGCGAUACAAACCCCCCAUCUUACAUUCUUCCUUUCCUCCACAAUUUAGCUUCCAUUCCCAACUCCUUACCGCCUCUACGUAUAUCCAACAGUGCCCCUGUAACCCCUCCUCUUUCUUCCCCAACUAGAGGUUCAAAGCGUAAACCUGAUUGGGAGCCUCUUUCUCAUAUCAAAUUACCGCCUUCAUUGCCGCACUCUCUUUUUGCUGCUUCAGCACCAGCGAGUCCU
rnacentral:lncRNA from 1 species